GUCCAGAUAGCUCAACGGGAGAGCGUGGGAUUGAAAAUCCCGAGAUGGGAGUUCGAUUCCCCCUCUGGACA
rnacentral:tRNA from 1 species